GAAAUUUAAGAAGUGUUGUAGAUAUAAAAUUCUUCCUCUGAUAGGGUCUUAGCUUCUUGGUUAAGGCGAAGGUUUUGGGUUGUUGAGUAUUUAGGUUCUAUAAUAUUAUUUUCAAUUUGAUGUGGUCCAUGUCACGACUGCGAAUCUUGAUAUUGCAACAUUGCCAAGUCAGAGAGUCUCGCCGCUACGAGCAUAGGCUUUCCGUUAUGAUGUGACAUACUGAGAUGCUCAUGUUGCGGUGAGAAAAAGCUGAAGUAGCGAAGUCGCGACAAACUUUUCAAAUCUUUGCAGUUUGGUUCUAAUUCUUGCUCGGACUGACAAAAAAACUUUCGUAAGCUCGAUUAAAGCUCAUAAUUCAUGUAUUAUUGUAAUUGCAUCAUGAUUGAUGUUUAAAUAAAAAUUAUCUUAUCGUAAUUCUAA